rnacentral:rRNA from 1 species
AUUGAACGCUGGCGGCAUGCUUUACACAUGCAAGUCGAACGGCAGCACGGGGGCGAACCCUGGUGGCGAGUGGCGAACGGGUGAAUAAUACAUCGGAACGUACCCAGUGGUGGGGGAGUAACCUACCGAAAGGUAGGCUAAUACCGCAUAAGCUCGAGAGAGGAAAGCGGGGGACCGUAAGGCCUCGCGCGACUGGAGCGGCCGAUGUCCGAUUAGCUAGUUGGUGAGGUAAAGGCUUACCAAGCGACGAUCGGUAGCUGGUCUGAGAGGAUGAUCAGCCACACUGGGACUGAGACACGGCCCAGACUCCUACGGGAGGCAGCAGUGGGGAAUUUUUGGACAAUGGGGGCGAACCC